CUGCAUUACCACCGACCAGUCCUCAGCCGGCAACAUGAAGCUGGGUGGCCUCUGCCUCCUGCUCCUCCUCGCCGUCCUUCUCACCCUCAAUGCAGAGCUCCAGGCAGUUGAUAUAGGUAUCUGUGUGACGGAGUGCAACGUAGACCAGGACUGUGGGGAAGGAAGACAAUGCACCAGCAAUGGGUGUGGCCGUGUCUGCUCCCCAGUCCAGCAAGAAGAGAGGCCUGCGAGCACCAGUGCAGAGAAGACAGGGACUGUGGGAGUGGACAUCAGUGCGUGAGGAAGGGCUGUGGGCACGUCUGCGCCCCCGUCCAUCAAGUCGGUAUCUGUGUGACGGAGUGCAAGGUAGACCAGGACUGUGGGGAAGGAAGACGAUGCACCAGCAAUGGGUGUGGCCGUGUCUGCUCCCCAGUCCAGCAAAAAGAUGUAGGUAUCUGUGUGACGGAGUGCCGUGUAGACCAGGACUGUGGGGAAGGAAGACAAUGCACCAGCAAUGGAUGUGGCCGUGUCUGCUCCCCAGCCCAGCAAAGAGAGGCCUGCGAGCACCAAUGCAGAGAAGACAAGGACUGUGGGAGUGGACAUCAGUGCGUGAGGAAGGGCUGUGGGCACGUCUGCUCCCCCAUCCCUCAAGUAGAUGUAGGUAUCUGUGUGACGGAGUGCAAUGUAGACC
rnacentral:lncRNA from 1 species